UCGCGUCGUCGCGCACGUAUUAUCACUGUCAUCGUUACUAAUAUUGUUAUUGUUAUUGUUAUUGUUAUUAUUGUAUGCGUAAUAUUUUACUGUACGGUUUCGUUUUUAAUCCCCCGGAGUCAUCGCCGUAGCCGGACGAUUUCCAAGACCGCGGUGAGUCGUGCAUCCAUAUAUCGAUAAUCGUAUACGGACGGGGGAAAAAAAAAA